GCCCUCUUGGCUCAGUGGUAGAGCGUAUCACUAGUACCUCCAGCUGGAGUAGUACAUGAUAAGGUCAUCAGUUCGAUUCUGAUAGAGGGCA